rnacentral:rRNA from 1 species
UGGGGAAUAUUGCGCAAUGGAGGCAACUCUGACGCAGCCAUGCCGCGUGUGUGAAGAAGGCCCUCGGGUUGUAAAGCACUUUCAAUUGGGAGAAAAAGCUUGUCGUUAAUAGCGGCAAGCCUUGAUGUUACCUUUAGAAGAAGCACCGGCUAACUCCGUGCCAGCAGCCGCGGUAAUACGGAGGGUGCGAGCGUUAAUCGGAAUUACUGGGCGUAAAGCGCGCGUAGGCGGUUGCUUAAGUCGGAUGUGAAAGCCCCGGCUCAACCUGGGAACUGCAUUCGAUACUGGGCGACUAGAGUACGAGAGAGGGAGGUAGAAUUCCACGUGUAGCGGUGAAAUGCGUAGAUAUGUGGAGGAAUACCGGUGGCGAAGGCGGCCUCCUGGCUCGAUACUGACGCUGAGGUGCGAAAAGCGUGGGGAGCAAAACAGGAUUAGAUACCCUGGUAGUCCACGCCGUAAAACGAUGUCUACUAGCCGUUGGGGUACUUGAGACCUUAGUGGCGCAGCUAACGCACUAAGUAGACCGCCUGGGAGUACGGCCGCAAGGUUAAAACUC